UCUCCGUUUCAAUAAGAUUAGUGUGCUUCACGGAUCGAGUACCUUGAUCUCAUGCAUCAACCUAAUCACGUCAUAACUUAUGGGACAAAACUAUCAGUAAGAAGAAUAUCUGAAAAUACAUACACUAUUUUAAGAUGAAUACAAUUACAUAGUUAAGUACCUUGUUUCAAUCCAUACUGAGAUAUAUGCCAAAACUAGAAUACUUAAUUGAAGAACUGUCAGAGAAAUUAAGGUCAGACUUCAAUGUUCUCAGUGAAGUGAUUAUUCCAUUCUCAUUCCAGGGUUUUCCAGUAAACAUGAUAUCAAAGUCACUUUUGUAUGAUUCAUUAGCGCCUUCAAGGAACAUUCAAUGUUAGACAAAAAUGAGUAAUAAAAACCAAAGAAGUCCACUCACAUUUGCAUUCCCAUACCUGACAGAUCACAACAUCUCUGGGCGACUGUGAUUAUGUUGCCCAUUUCCUCAUCAUUCCACCUUGCAAUCCUUAGUUUAUGGCAAUCAACCAGCUUGAUUAUCAUCUAACUGAAAGUUCCCAACUUCAAAGGAAAGAAAUAUUGACAGCUCACACACACAUUAUACAGAUCAUAAAUAUACCUGGAUAACAAGGAUUUAAUUCGGAUUCGCUGCCCACAUCCACUUCGCAUCCAACGUCCAACAGUGGACAAAUCAUCGCAAAAGUCCCAAUAAUGGGAUGAGUUCUAUAAAUAUUCUGGAGCAACUCGUAAAGUCUAUCUGAGCUUUACUUAUUUCUCUGCACAAUAUAGGCACAAAAUGCGGAACUAACAAUAAGAGAGUAAGCACAACACGGUCAAGUUUUCAAUUAGAGGACGAUCAUGCCUGCAGGAGAUUAUACUUGAUCACACAGAAAGAACAAAUUGACUGGCAAAAUAACAUUUUAAAAAUAAGAUAUGUUAAGAAAAGUUGAUUUCUUCUGGAAAGUCUGGAACGAUCAGCGUUCAUUUGGCCAACCAUGAAAAAAGUGAAAGCAAUAUCAAAGUUGUCAGAGUCCAACAGCAACAUUGAGGUUUUUCAAUGAAGGAAGGAAUGAAUGUCAAAGUACAUCCGUGGCUUCACGUUGUAGUUUUCAUAUUCAUAUGAGCUGCUUUACAUAAACCUCAAACCGCACACCAGAAUUCCUCCUGCAAGCCCAGUUCGCCACAAUCCAUGGAAAAUUGCUUCUGCAGAAUAUUAAUCUGACAAGUCAAAUAUCACUUUAAUAUAAAUAACAACGAAUCAAUCAGAAACCAUAAAUAUUAUUUAGAAAUCACCCAAUUUAUCAGUUGAAAAAAAUUGGUAAUUUGAAAUGAUUGCAUAUAUAACUAACACGCAAUCGUAUCAUCUACCCCAACCAUGAAGAGCUACAAGCCAGUAAUUUUCCUGAACAAUUCGGUUAAAAGAGAAGCUAUCGUGUAGACUCAAAACCAGAUUUAAAGCAAUUUUUAAGCAUCCUUGUGGUUUUUGCUCUAAAUAAUAAUUUCUUGUACAACGUUGGUCACCAUAUUAAAACUAUAAGCAUAAAUUCAACAACAGAUUGGUGCUUGAAACGCGAAGAGACCAAUAAAGGAUCGAGACUAAGUCAGCAAACUAUUUCUAACCCAUGGAGCACAAACAGAGACAAACUUUUAAGAUUAAAAUCUAUUGAAUUUCUUUCAAACAAUCCUUUCCUGAAAGCAUGCUAUCAUUCUUGAAAUAAACGCCACAUAAAAUCUAGUAGUCCAGUCCAAUCAGUCUUUCCCGAAAAUCUUUUGUGGCACUUUAUGACCGCCACAUGGUACCAUUCAUGAAAUCGCAAAAGCUGAAACCAAAAAAAGGCAUGCCAAAUUCCUAAAAGCCUCAAACUAAACCUCUUCCUAGAACAAUGGUCUCGUCUUCACAUGGACAAACCAUGUGAAAAGCAAACAAACAGUUAAAGUUGAUAUCUAUCACUAAAAACAGAAACAAACAUUUCCUCAAGCCUACCACCCAACUGAACUUCCAUCAGAAUAGAGUUUUACCACCUACCUUGAUACCACAGGCAACCUGAAUCUUCAAACACGUGAAAAAGAAAAAGAUUAGUACGGUGGCAUAAGGAUUUAUGUGCCUCGUUUUCCAAUCCACUAUGUUAUUCAAACAGAGCCUACAACAUGUACCGACAUCACCAGCAUCCUUUUCAGGCAGAAAAAUGCCUAUUAAUAUCUGGAAAGUGUUAUGGUAUGAAAACAAACAACAACCUAUAAACUAAACUCCUAAUAAAUCUAUAGUCAGUCAAUCAUAUCAGAGAAAUUAAAUGGCGACAACUUAAUGCCUGCUUGAUCCCAAACCAAAUUCCACAUAAAAGUCAGAAUCUUUAUUCUUUAUCCAACUUCUAGCACAAAAAUGACCAAUAGGCAUCCCUCAUCCCCACGAAAUUUUUAUCUCCAAUUUCAAUUCUACAUGGACCUGAAAAUUGAUUGAGAAUAAGCUUGCUGCCACAGCUCCUAUCGUCUAUUAUCAGCAAUGAUCACUCAAUUCUCUUGGGCGGCC
rnacentral:lncRNA from 1 species